UCCACUCUCCAGCUGCUUCUCCACGGACACGCACUGGUUCUUGGGUCCACGCUGCGAGGUGGCCGUCCAGUGGAGGGCGCUGGUCGGGGGCCUGGCCGGGGCCGGGGCGCUGCUGCUGCUGCUGCUGCUGGCGCUGAGCCUUUUCUGCAGGCGCUGGAGGAGGAGGGGCGGCCGAGGAGGAGCCCGGUCCUGGGACGAUGACAAGAAAUGCUUCGAGAUCUGGGAUGAGGACACCGCGGGGACUUUUUCCAACUUGGGCUUCCAGGAUGACCGACAUUUCAAGGAUGAAAACUUCCAGGUGGCCUUGGAGAAGGUGGACACCAAUGUGAGGGUGCACACCCAGACACCUGAGAUGGACUUGUCCUCGAUGUGAACCCUGCCCUACCCUAUCCACCUGCCCUGGACAGCGGGAAGGAAGCAUCUGCUCUGCAUCCAUUUCAAGAGAUGGCCAAGGACUCGUGCAGCUCAGCCUCCUGGAAUCCUGGGCAAAAUUAGACCAUCCCCAGACCGGCACCCUCUCAACUUGGAUGA